AUGGCAUUCUUUUAUGCACAGCUCAUAAGCCUUUUCUUUACAUAUGCAUAUGCAGCUAUCUUAAUUGACCAAGCAUCCAUUUCACUAACUGAACCUAAAGGAAAAUCUGCUAUAUUGACUUGCAAUACUGUAGGCGUUGACCUGGAAAAAAGACCACUUCACUGGUAUCGACAGAAAUCCAAUGAAGGAUUGGAGAAUAUCCUUUACAUAUUUGAAGGAAAAGCCACUUACAGACCAGGGUUUAGCUCUAGCAAGUAUAAGGCUGGUCGUAUUUCAAGUUUGACAAUAGUGAAUAUAAAUGACGAGGACAGCGCUGUGUAUUACUGUGCCUGCUGGGAUACAAGUCACAGUAACACAACUUAG